rnacentral:rRNA from 1 species
AGCGAACGCUGGCGGCAGGCUUAACACAUGCAAGUCGAGCGGGCAUAGCAAUAUGUCAGCGGCAGACGGGUGAGUAACGCGUGGGAACGUACCUUUUGGUUCGGAACAACUGAGGGAAACUUCAGCUAAUACCGGAUAAGCCCUUACGGGGAAAGAUUUAUCGCCGAAAGAUCGGCGCGCGUCUGAUUAGCUGGUUGGCGAGGUAAUGGCGCACCAAGGCGACGAUCAGUAGCUGGUCUGAGAGGAUGAACAGCCACAUUGGGACUGAGACACGGCCUAACCGCCGACGGGAGACAGCAGUGGGGAAUAUUGGAGAAUGGGCGCAAGCGUAGUCCAGCCAUGCCGCGUGAGUGGUGAAGGCCCUAGGGUUGUAAAGCUAUUUUGUGCGGGAAGAUAAUGACGGUACCGCAAGAAUAAGCCCCGGCUAACUUCGUGCCAGCCGCCGCAGUAA